rnacentral:rRNA from 1 species
AUGGGGGCGCCGGAGUGCUGGUGGUCGACGUGGAGGGGGCUGGCCGUCGCCGUCACGGCGGCGUGCCUGCUCCCGCACGUGGCGGCGCGGGUGACGGACGCGCUGUGGUGGCGGCCGCGGCGGCUGGAGGCGCACUUCGCGCGGCAGGGCGUGCGCGGCCCGCCGUACCGCUUCCUCGUCGGCUGCGUCCGGGAGAUGGUGGCGCUCAUGGCGGAGGCCACCGCCAAGCCCAUGUCGCCGGCCACCUCCCACAACGCGCUGCCCCGGGUGCUCGCCUUCUACCACUACUGGAGGAAGAUCUACGGUAUGUAUGCAUGCGCCGCGUGUUUCUUCCCUUCUCUUGUUGUCAGCGGCUCACGUUCUCCGCAAUCAAUGGGUGGAGUUUUAAUGGUGGUUGGGUCUUGUCGUGGCGGCGCAGGGCCGACGUUCUUGAUAUGGUUCGGGCCGACGCCGCGGCUUACGGUGGCGGAUCCCGAGCUCGUCCGCGAGAUCUUCCUGACGCGCGCGGAGGCGUUCGACCGCUACGAGGCGCACCCCAUCGUCCGGCAGCUUGAGGGAGACGGGCUCGUCAGCCUACACGGCGACAAGUGGGCCCUCCACCGCCGCGUUCUCGCCCCCGCCUUCUACCCCGACAACCUCAACAGGCUGGUGCCGCACGUCGGGAGGUCGGUGGCGGCGCUGGCGGAGAGGUGGCGGGCGAUGGCGUGCGCAAGCGGCGGCGAGGUGGAGGUGGACGUGGCGGAGUGGUUCCAGGCGGUGGCCGAGGAGGCCAUCACGCGCGCCACGUUCGGCCGCAGCUACGCCUCCGGCCGCGUGGUGUUCCGCAUGCAGGGCCGCCUCAUGGCCUUCGCCUCCGAGGCCUUCCGCAAGGUGCUCGUCCCGGGCUACCGGUUCUUGCCGACCAAGAAGAACCGGAUGUCGUGGGGCCUGGACAGGGAGAUCAGGCGGGGCCUAGUCCAGCUCAUCGGCCGGCGCAGCGACGCCGCCGAGGACCACGAGGCGGAGAUCAAGGAGAAGGGCAACAGCGGCGGCUUCAGGGACCUGCUGGGGCUGAUGAUCAAUGCCCGCGACAAGAAGUCGCAGGCCAUGCCGGUGGAGGAGAUGGUGGAGGAGUGCAAGACGUUCUUCUUCGCCGGCAAGCAGACGACCACCAACCUGCUGACCUGGGCCACCGUGCUCCUCGCCAUGCACCCGGAGUGGCAGGACCGCGCCCGGCAGGAGGUCCUCGCCGUGUGCGGCCCGGGCGAGCUCCCCACCAAGGAGCACCUGCACAAGCUGAAAACGCUGGGGAUGAUCCUGAACGAGACGCUGAGGCUGUACCCACCGGCCGUGGCCACCAUCCGCAGGGCCAAGGUGGAUGUCACCCUCGGCGACCUGGCGAUCCCGCGCGACACGGAGCUGCUGAUCCCGAUCAUGGCGAUCCACCACGACGCCAGGUUCUGGGGGCCCGACGCGGCGCAGUUCAACCCCGGCCGGUUCGCCGGCGGCGCGGCGCGGGCGGCGACGCACCCGCUGGCGUUCAUCCCGUUCGGGCUCGGGUCCCGGAUGUGCGUCGGCCAGAACCUCGCGCUGCUCGAGGCCAAGCUCACCGUGGCCGUCCUGCUCCAGCGCUUCGAGCUGAGGCCGUCGCCCAAGUACGUGCACGCGCCGACGGUGCUGAUGCUGCUGCACCCGCAGUACGGCGCGCCCGUGAUCUUCCGCCCCCUGUCGUCGCCGUCCGCCGUCCGCGUCGAUCCACGCUAG